rnacentral:rRNA from 1 species
GAUGAACGCUGGCGGCGUGCCUAAUACAUGCAAGUCGAGCGAACAGACGAGGAGCUUGCUCCUCUGACGUUAGCGGCGGACGUGUGUGUCACACGUGGAUAACCUACCUAUAAGACUGGGAUCACUUCGGGAAACCGGCUCUAAUACCAGAUAACAUGUUGAACCGCAUGGUUCAACAGUGAAAGACGGUCUUGCUGUUACUUAUUGAUGGAUCCGCGCCGAAUUAGCUUGUUGGUAAGGUAACGGUCUACCAAGGCAACGAAGAGUAGCCGACCUGAGAGGGGGAUCGGCCAACCGGGACCUGGGACACGGCCAAGCCUCCUACGGGAGGCAGAAGUAGGGAAUCUUCGGAAAGGGGCGAAGGCCUGACGGGGCAAGGCCGCGUGAGGGAAGAAGGUCUUCGGAUCGUAAAAUUUGGUUAUUAGGGAGGAACAAAUGUGUAAUGAACUAUGCACGUUUUGACGGUACCUAAUCAGAAAGCCACGGCUAACUACGUG